rnacentral:lncRNA from 1 species
GAUCUGGACUUUGGCACUAAACGAUCGGUACGCUUUAAGCUGUAGUGACCGCGAUACAAACAGGCUUUAUGUAUUUAAGUAUUAUUCAGUCGUCAAAGUAAGGCUAUAAACAGGCUUAAUAGUUCGGUUUGUUGAAUAAUAUAAUAUGUUUGACACACCCGGUUUUUGAGUACACCAGAAUUUCAGUUGGAUUUUUACCAGGUCUGAUAAGAUAUCUUUUGGAGAAAAAAAAUAGUGCAUAAGCUAUAACAAGUAAUGCCAAGAAAGGGAUGUUUGCGUCCGACAUGUUGCACAGCAAUGACAGAAUGAGCUGAGGGCUUCGUCUGAGCGGCAGGAGAAACAUUUAUUGUCGAGAAUUAGCAGCGGAUAAGUGGCAUCGUAUGGUACCGCCCUGCCGCUCACGUCUGUCUUGAGUGUUCCCCUUAUGUACAACACAUUAAACUUUUAAGUCACUGCUCGAUCCAGCGCUCACAUCCCACCGCUUACCACUCGUAUCACAGCAGAGACCUCGGUUGAAUGAUUGGCUCCUCGCACUUGUUCCGAUUGGUCAUAAUAUUACAUAGGUUAAAAACCAAGAAAGUGAUGUUAUGUUUUGAUAUCACGGUCACAUCCAAACCUUCGUUUACAUUGGCAAAAAUUUGCAAUUUUUGUGUACGACUAAAAAUCGUGUCUCAACGGGUGCAAGAGCUCUUGCAAACGUUGCCAAAAAACCAGUGUAAGACAAUUGUUUGCAAGAACUGGAGAUCAGUCUCGACUAUUAAAAUUUCAUUUAUAAGCAUUGCCGAGACAUCACUGCCAUGUGCAAACAGACUUCGUAUUGACUCUCGGAACAACAGGCGAUACAACUGUAGCAAGUUGUACAAGGACUUGCGACAGUUCUCAGUUGACAGCUCAGUUAAGUAAAAUUGUUUAUCUUGUUCACAUUAUGCGACAGUAGUUGUGCAAAUACUCUCGCAACUUUACUUGCCAGUGUAAACGCAGCUUAUAUUGUCACCAGUGUACAAACAGCAGACUGCCAGCCGACCGAAUCAAACACGUACGUCAGUUUCGUCGUCAGAAUGGGAUUAGUUGGACGAUGGCUGGAAAUCCUGUAAUUUCUCCGAUUAACUAUUAACCUGAACGACUUUUCCGCACACGUGACGAUCGGUCGGACGAUUCUAAAUGUUCAAACCAAAUAGACUAACAUGUAUAAGGAGCUUUAUGUCAUGUUGUUUAUUAGUCCAUGACUAUAAUCUAACAAAAACAUGAUGAACCACAGCCUUUCGUGCGUUUAUUUACUUUGUAGUGAUGAGGUGAUUCAUUAUAUUAAAGGCUGACACAAAAUAUUUAGGAGCCAGUAAUUGAUAACAUCAAUUGUGCUCGUAUUCUGGGUGCAAUGUAGAAGGUACUGUUCUGUACUGCUGUCUAUGUACUUUUUCUACAGAUCGCAAACUAACAGCACUUAGGUAACUUCCGUAGCAGAUAACUUUCUGAUGCGUUCUUCAUGUAUUGGCCAUCAGUGGGAAUUAUUUUGAGAGCCACGAUACUUUUGCGGGACUCUAACCAGGGGUACGAUGAGAAUCUGGAAAUGCGUGCAUUACGCAUGAAUUUCGAACUCCGGGGGGUAAAUGGCGGUGAAUUUUUAUAGUGUCCCUGAAAUUUUUAGUAAGGAUGGAUCGUUUCUGAUACUCAAUACCGGGGCUCUUUCUAUUCGAUUCCGAUACCAACAGAAGUGACUAAUUACGCUUGAAAAAUCACGAUUUCACAAUAUACUACUCAUGUGGGGAAGCUGAAUUAGCUGAAUUUCGAAUCCAAAAAAUAUCUAUUCCCGGAUGACUACUGAUCGGCAGUACGGAAAUUACCGAUUGCUUCGAAUUCGUCCACCGCAGAUCUUUGACCCGCAAUGCUGGACUGAAGUCUGCCCCAUGGUAGCGCUGUUUUGGUAUUUAUUUGUUAUCUUUGUUUAUUCCAUAUUGGGUAUAUGUAUUUUCCAAACAUCACAGAAAGGAAAGUUAUUAGGUAUACACGAUGAUUCGUCAACACAUCGAAAGACAGAGAUAAAAGCUAUAAAUUUUUUUAGUUUAUAUAAAUGACCUUAGGUCAUCUAUAUCAUCUGGUCAAAUGGUUCAGUAAGCAGACGAUACUACCCUCUGUUUCCAGGGAAAAUGCAAAGAGUCUUUGGAAGUUGAUUGCUUUGUAAAUUCAAAUUCAUGUCUUCAAUUUUUAUCAAAUGUGAAUCUACAAACAAAUGAUUCCAAAUCAAACUUCAUCUGUUUUUCAGGGCGCAGAGCGCUCCAUGAACCCGGUCCAUCAGUUGUACUGAAUGAUAUGGAAUUCACAUUGAUAAAGGUUUGUCCUGGGAAAAAACAUGUGGACGUUGUCUGUGCUAGAAUGUCCUCAGGCAUCUAUGCUUUGAGGAAAUUGGCAGAAUUUUGUGGAAUACACCUACUGAAAAUGGCCUAUUAUGGCCUAGUGUACCCACAUACGUCAUACGGCAUAACAUUGUGGGGAGGGUGUGCGAAUGUCUAUUUCCAGAGGUGUUUCGUCCUUCAGAAAAAAGCAGUAUGAAUCAUGGCAAAAAUAGGAAUUAGAGAAUCCUGUAGGGAUCAUUUUAGAGAACUUGAUUUGUUAACCUUCUCAUCCCUCUACAUGUACAAGACCGUCUUGUACUGUUGUUAUAAAUGUGAGGUAACGCGGGGCAGGGACGUUCAUGAGUACAACACCAGAGGGCGGGAUGCGUUUAGAUCUGCGCAGCACAGGCUCCAGGCUUAAGAAUCUCUACCAUCUGAGGUUGGAGCUAAACUGUUCAACAAGCUGCCCUUGACUUGCGUGUAAAAAAUAGGAAACCACUGUUUAAGAGGAAGCUAAGGCGCCUACUGGUGCAAGGAGCCUACUACUCUGUUGGUGAGUUUGCGGAUCAUGAGGCUUAAUCAAUUCUGUUGGGUUGAGGGUGCCGUUAUGUGUAGCACUUUAGCUUUUUACCUUGCAAACUUUUUGCAUUCUUUGUUCACAAUUAUAAGCAAUUUUAUAUUUUUAAGGGUAAUUGUUUGUUAUUUGUAUUGUUUUGUUAUUUUAAUUUAUAUUCUAGUAUGUUUUAAUCGAUAUGACACUCGCCAUACAAUACUGUAAUUGUCUACGGCAAUAAAGCUAUUAUUAUUAUUAUUACUAAGGAGCUUAAAAUAAGUGAUAGCGAUAAAUCGUCACCGAAUUUCUCACAUGUCACUAGCAACGAAAUACUAGAGCACCACAGCUUUGUAGCAUCUCUUGCAAAUACUGCUGGUGACAAUAAACACCGUUAAACUCGGCGUAAGAGUUAAAUACAGUUUUACAGUUGUUUAUUUGGCUUGAAAAUAGACUAGAGAAUCGGAAAUUUUCGAGCAGGAGAACCAGGAAUAAACCGCGAACUUGAAGAGGUUUUGAUUGGCCACCGUGAGACUAUUUUGUCUAUGUAGAAUGAUAAUAUGAUCAGUUUUAAAAUAUUUGUAGAAAUUAAAUUACAGCUUAUUUUUGUAAUUCUUAGACUACAUGUUAUUAUCUUAAUUAUUACUAAUACGGUUUGUACAAAUCAUUGCACUUCAUGAAUGGUUUCAUUAAUUUUAUCUAUCGCCACAAACACCUGACAACUAUUAGCAGUUUUAUGCUUAAUUCAUGGUGAGUGGAAAUACAAUUUUAAUGUUCUCAAUUUAAAAAUUAUACACAUUUGAUAUGUAACUAUGAUUAAAAUAUGUAUCCUACUCAAAUAAAUAGGCUUAAUUAAAUAUUGAUUGAAUAAUUCAUUUUUAUAUUUUGAAAUGUCAAGUUUCAGUCCAUUUGUAAAAUGAAGAUUGGACCACUGGCCAUUGAAGAGAACAGAUUUUGUCACGAAUUUAAAAUACACAAACAUUUUAACCCAUUGAACUUAACUUUAGACUAGACUAUUUUGUCUAUGUAGAAUGAUAAUAUGAUCAGUUUUAAAAUAGUUCCAGAAAUUCAAUCAUUUCAAAAGUUUUGACUAUGGCAAUGGUAUUUCAGGAACCAUUACAGUAGUUUCAUCUUAAUUGAGGUAUAUGAAGCCAAUAGCUUGGUUAAAUUAGAAAUUAAAUGCUUUUAUGAUAAACGUCACCUGAGAUAUUGUUAAUAAGUUGUGUAAAGAACAUAAUUUUAUGUUCAAGAUAUCAGAAUUGUAUUGGUACCAAUUGAUUCAGGACAUUCUACACAUAUAUUUUUAAAUAUAUUAUGUCUCAAGAUUCAAUGUAAAGAGCAUAUUAGUAGUUUUUAAAAUGUAGUUUUAAAUCACAACAAUCUAACCAUGUAUCAGAAAUAUGUUUUCCACAUAUCCAGUAAUGCAGAAAGUAAGAAGAUUUCCUCAAAUAAUUUUCAAUUGAUUUGUGAAUCUGUUUUGUUUUUAUUCAAAUUCAAUGUUUUCGUAAUCUCCUAUAAAGGGACAUGUCUUAAAUGACCAUCAAUGUAAAGGUUCAAUAAUUAAAGGAAUAUAUAUUUUUAUGAUAAA